rnacentral:rRNA from 1 species
AGAGUUUGAUCCUGGCUCAGAAUGAACGCUGGCGGCGCGCCUAACACAUGCAAGUCGAACGAGAAAUCUCGAGCUUGCUCGAGAUAGUAAAGUGGCGCACGGGUGAGUAACGCGUGGGUAACCUGCCCUUGAAUCUGGAAUAAUCCACCGAAAGGUGGCCUAAUACCGGAUAUAGUCCUGAGAACCACGGUUCUCGGGAUGAAAGCUGACCUCUUCUUGAAAGUUGGCGUUUAAGGAGGGGCCCGCGUACCAUUAGCUUGUUGGUAGGGUAAAGGCCUACCAAGGCUACGAUGGUUAGCUGGUCUGAGAAGACGUCCAGCCACACUGGAACUGAAACACGGUCCAGACUCCUAUGGGAGGCAGCAGUGAGGAAUCUUGCGCAAUGGGGGAAACCCUGACGCAGCGACGCCGCGUGAGUGAAGAAGGCCUUCGGGUCGUAAAGCUCUGUCAAGUGGGAAUAAAGUCCCGCGAUAAAUAGGCGUGGGAUCUGAAGGUACCACUAAAGGAAGCGCCGGCUAACUCCGUGCCAGCAGCCGCGGUAAUACGGAGGGUGCAAGCGUUAUUCGGAUUUAUUGGGCGUAAAGAGCGUGUAGGCGGUUGGGUUAGUCAGACGUGAAAUCCUUCUGCUCAAGUGAAGAAGUACGUCUGAAACUACCUAACUUGAGUACGAGAGAGGAAAGUGGAAUUCCCAGUGUAGAGGUGAAAUUCGUAGAUAUUGGGAGGAACACCUGUGGCGAAAGCGACUUUCUGGAUCGAUACUGACGCUGAGACGCGAAAGCGUGGGGAGCAAACAGGAUUAGAUACCCUGGUAGUCCACGCCGUAAACGAUGGGAACUAGGUGUAGUGGGUAUUGAUCCCUGCUGUGCCGAAGCUAACGCAUUAAGUUCCCCGCCUGGGGAGUACGGUCGCAAGGCUAAAACUCAAAGGAAUUGACGGGGGCCGCACAAGCGGUGGAGCAUGUGAUCAAUUCGAUGCAACGCAAAAACCUACUGGUUUGACUCCUCUGACAGUCCCUGAAAGGGGAUCUUCUGAUUAUCAGACAGAUGACAGUGCUGCAUGCUGUCGUCAGCUCGUGUCUGGAGAAUGUAGUUAGUUCCGCACGAGCGCUCUUGCUAAGUGCCAAUAUAGUAAGCACUUAAGAUCUGCUGUAACGGAGAGGUGGGAUUGACGUCAAGUUCUC